GCGGUGGUAGCUGAACUGGAACGCCUCGGAAGGGCAAACAGCACCCGAUUUGUAAUCGGGAGAAUGUGGGUUCGAGUCCCACCCACCGCG
rnacentral:tRNA from 1 species